UUCUCAAAAACAUAAAAUCGUGGGUCCUACUGUGUUUGCAUUACUGGCCUGUCCUCGGGACCUUACAUCUCCCGAUUCAUCUCUUUCCCCUCACCGAUUCAUCUCUUUCCUCUCAAAAGGGAAACAGUUUCCUCGCCCAUCUCGUCUGUCUCCCCUCCAACCCCAUAUCAUCGUUCCGCGCCCUGCAUUUCAAUAUUCAUCUGAACACAAGUGAGACCCAGACUUUCACUUGAUCUUCAAGUGAAACCGCGACUCCAGCGUUUCAACUCCCGGCAAGGCGUGGUUUCAAGACCCUCCCUCUCCAGCUGAAUCGAAGGACGCAAGCACGUGAUUCCUUUGCAGACUCUCGAGUUCAAUCAUUCCGACACAACUACGAAGUUGAGAACCAGAACUAUGGCAACUAGUAGCAGUGUGUCCAUAAAUUCAACCGAUGCUAUGAGGCCAAAAGAGUAGCUGCUAUUGGGACAAAUACCUCAAUGUUAUUGUGGCAUGCCAUGCAAACUGCGGACGUCGGCCAAGGCCAUCAGUUUUGGGAGGUGUUUUUUUAAUUGUCGAUAUUAUAAGGGUCAAAAGUAGUGCGAAUUUUUCCAGUGGGUUGAUGUUUCAAUCUCGCUACCAAUUUGUUGUAAGCGGACGUUGCAAUUAGCAGAACGGAGAAGUCAAAGAUUAGCGGCUGAACAAAAAAGAAUAGAGGAUAGCAAGUUUCAAUCAAUGAAGAUGAAGUACAAAUGUGCGUUGAUCACAUCUUGGGUUUUAUUUAUUACCUUAUUAUGUAGUGUUAAAAUGUAUAAACUUAAUGAUAAUGUAAGUCAGUUAAUGCUACCUUAAUCAUUUCCCAUUAAAUCAUUAUUAUGAAAUGUAAACCGAACGGUUGUUAGCAGAAGACACUUUAUUCUGUACCUACGCUCAACAUAAGUAGUAACGGUUGGUUGUUUUUCACCGUUUAGGUGUCA